UAAUACGUAGGGUGCGAGCGUUGUCCGGAAUUACUGGGCGUAAAGAGCUCGUAGGUGGUUUGUCGCGUUGUUCGUGAAAACUCACAGCUUAACUGUGGGCGUGCGGGCGAUACGGGCAGACUGGAGUACUGCAGGGGAGACUGGAAUUCCUGGUGUAGCGGUGGAAUGCGCAGAUAUCAGGAGGAACACCGGUGGCGAAGGCGGGUCUCUGGGCAGUAACUGACGCUGAGGAGCGAAAGCGUGGGGAGCGAACAGGAUUAGAUACCCUGGUAGUCCACGCCGUAAACGGUGGGUACUAGGUGUGGGUUUCCUUCCUUGGGAUCCGUGCCGUAGCUAACGCAUUAAGUACCCCGCCUGGGGAGUACGGCCGCAAGGCUA
rnacentral:rRNA from 1 species